AGCAGCCGCGGUAAUUCCAGCUCCAAUAGCGUAUAUUAAAGUUGUUGCAGUUAAAAAGCUCGUAGUUGAAUUUCGGGAUCAGUACGCUGGUCAUGCCUUUGGUAUGCACUGGUGUCACUGGUUUCUCCCUUCUGAAGAACCGUGAUGUCAUUAAUUUGGUGUCGCGGGGAAUCAGGACUGUUACUUUGAAAAAAUUAGAGUGUUUAAAGCAGGCUCACGCUUGAAUACAUUAGCAUGGAAUAAUGAAAUAGGACGUUUGACCCUAUUUUGUUGGUUUCUAGGAUCGACGUAAUGAUUAAUAGGGAUAGUUGGGGGCAUUAGUAUUCAAUUGUCAGAGGUGAAAUUCUUGGAUUUAUUGAGGACUAACUACUGCGAAAGCAUUUGCCAAGGAUGUUUUCAUUAAUCAAGAAUGAAAGUUAGGGGAUCAAAGACGAUUUAUGUACGUCGUAGUCUUAACCAUAAACUAUGCCAACUAGGAAUCAGACAAAGUUCAUUUUUUAAUGACUU
rnacentral:rRNA from 1 species